rnacentral:rRNA from 1 species
CACGUAGGGCGCAAGCGUUGUCCGGAAUUAUUGGGCGUAAAGAGCUCGUAGGCGGUCUGUUACGUCUGCUGUGAAAACCCAGGGCUUAACCCUGGGCUGCAGUGGAUACGGGCAGACUAGAGGCAGGUAGGGGGAGAAUGGAAUUCCCGGUGUAGCAGUGAAAUGCGUAGAGAUCGGGAGGAACAUCAGUUGCGAAGGCGGCUCUCUGGACCAGCACUGACACUGAGGCACGAAAGCGUGGGAGCAACAGGAUUAGA